rnacentral:tRNA from 1 species
GGCGUGGUGGAGCAGAGGUAACGUUAUCAACUAACAAUCGGUCAAUCCAGGUUUGAUUCCUGCCGUGCCG